AGAGAGAGAGAGAGAGAGAGAUGGGUUCCUACUGCAACUGAAGGAGGCAUCCAAAGGGAUCGCAUUGAUCCCAUCUCUGCACUAACGAACACCUCCCGCAUAUUUGGAUUUUGGAUCAUGCUAUCCCUUUGGAUACCUCCUUUAGUGGCUUCAAAUUUGAUGAUCUUCUCGUCGAGAAUUGAUCCGGCGACUCAUGCAUCACCAGGAAAGCUUGCCGGAGAAAAGGCCCAGAGAAGACCGAGUGAAGCCGUGCAAUGCGAAAAAUGAGGAAUUCAAAUGAAUUGGGGUGGUGCCUUGACAACUUCAGCAGCAUCUUGCAUGUCACAAAACCUCAUGGAAGUUACAAUUUGAGACUAACAUGGUACACAAUCAAUUACAGUAUGCACGAAACACACGGAGUCAUCCACGUCCUUUUAAGUGAGAGUUAGUGACAGAUCCAUUGUUAUUAAAAUGAGAUUAGCUGAACCUUUUAGCUGAGUCCAUAUGAGUUUGCACAGGGCAAAAAAGAAGCACCAUAAGCUCAGAUGGGCGUGGAAGGAGCAGAGGAGGAGGCUAAACCCUAGAAGUGGAUCAUGCAUUUUCUGGAUAGACCAAAUUAAAUUGAACUGUUUCUAUUCUUUGCUUCCUCGAGAAAUUUGCUAUAUCCACGAGAAUUGAAUCACGCAGUCCUUCACGACAGAAUAAUACAGCUUGAAUCUAGAGCUUCAAACCCACACGCUUUAUGAGGCAGUAAUCAGAAUCCAAAGCAAAUGAGAAGUGUCACUAAAGGAUCUCUUUUAUUCUUCCAAAGUUGGGACCUCACAAUGAGGAAUCAUGCACAUGAUGAGCGCUCAAAAGAUAAAAUAAAAGGAAUAAACUCUCCUUCAAACCACGUCUCUAUGAAUAAAAGCAUUUUUCAAGGGCAUGCAUUUUGUUGCGCCUCUCUCAUCACAUGCCUCCAACAUUCUAUUCUAUGUAUGAUUCCUUUCCUCACAUGGUACCAACCUUCUCUCUAGUACUCAAUGCCUUGAGGCUUCUCUUUACCAUAAAUGUUUAUUGGACUAGAUAUCUCGUAAAGAAACAUCAGGGUAUGCUUUCAUUAGAAAAUACACACAAAGCCAUUAUCUGAGUGUGGUUGGCAUUACUAAUUGUAAAAUAUAAGAUUAUAAUCUCUCUCUCUCUCUCUCUCUCUCUCUCUCUCUCUCUUCAUCCUUCAAGAUAUUCCUCUUUGAGUGGGAUCUCAUGGGCAUGAGAAAAUCAAGUUAUACCACAUGAUAAUGCUUUGAGAAAACUUAGCAUAUGCUUGAAUCUCAAUCUAGAUGAGUGCAAACAUUCAUAGCAUUUUUCCAUUAAUUCACUUAAUUUAUUCAUAUGAAAACAUGGGUUCCACUUCCCCAUCAUCCUGCGAUUUUCCAUUGUUGUUGGAUUAGAUAUCUGCACAGAAAGGUCAUCAAAGCUUGAAACGAAAUAAAUGCAAUUGGGGAAAAAAGAGCACUCAAAAAAUGGGUCCAAGCGAGAGGAAUUUUUUGGCACUAGAUGGUACAGACUGUCUUCAACACCCCACAUAUCAAUUCUAAGAUGUCUCCUCCUUGGACUACAAAAACUUUAGGGAAGGACAUGGGGAAGAUGACAAAGAAGAAACCUCACAGGCUCACGGAGAGAAAGAGAGAGAGAGAGAUUAUGAUAUUUCAACUGCACGAGGGAUUGGAAUUGCCCCCUUCUAAUGGGACCCCAAUUCCUUGACCUUACCUCCUUCCUAUUCCAACUUCAAAAUUCUCUCUUACCCAACUAGAUCCUUCCCCGUUCCCAGUACUAGUCACUCACUCUCUCUCUCUCUCUCUCAACUAUGAGAGACUAUUGAGGCUUUGCUUUCUCUUUUUUCAAUCUCAAAUUCAGUUUCAGCCACAAAUUGAACAUCAGGUGGAUUUUGAUUGUGAUGCACUGUUGAGUGUUUUGGGACCUUAUCAUGAUGCGCUCUGGCGCCGAUUACCUUUCUGUUUUACAAGAAACAAUAUGUUCUUUGCUUGGUGUUUUAGUCAUUAAUGUGAUAUUUCUAUUGUGAUAGG